rnacentral:rRNA from 1 species
GUGAGGAAUAUUGGACAAUGGGCGCAAGCCUGAUCCAGCCAUGCCGCGUGCAGGAAGACGCAUCUAUGGUGUGUAAACUGCUUUUGUACGGGAAGAAACACUCCCUCGUGAGGGAGCUUGACGGUACCGUAAGAAUAAGGAUCGGCUAACUCCGUGCCAGCAGCCGCGGUAAUACGGAGGAUCGAAGCGUUAUCCGGAAUCAUUGGGUUGAAAGGGUCCGUAGGCGGUUUAAUAAGUCAGUGGGGAAAGCCCAUCGCUCAACGAUGGAACUGCCAUUGAUACUGUUAGACUUGAAUUACAAGGAGGUAACUAGAAUAUGUAGUGUAGCGGUGAAAUGCUUAGAUAUUACAUGGAAUACCAAUUGCGAAGGCAGGUUACUACUUGUGGAUUGACGCUGAUGGACGAAAGCGUGGGGAGCGAACAGGAUUAGAUACCCGAGUAGUCC